AACAAACGAAACAGGGUAAUACGGAGGGUGCAAGCGUUAUCCGGAUUUACCUGUUGUUUAAAGGGUCCGUAGGCGGAUGCGUAAGUCAGUGGUGAAAUCUCACAGCUCAACUGUGAAACUGCCAUUGAUACUGCGUGUCUUGAGUGAGGUUGAAGUAGCUGGAAUAAGUAGUGUAGCGGUGAAAUGCAUAGAUAUUACUUAGAACACCAAUUGCGAAGGCAGGUUACUAAGUCUCAACUGACGCUGAUGGACGAAAGCGUGGGGAGCGAACAGGAUUAGAUACCCUGGUAGUCCACGCUGUAAACGAUGCUAACUCGUUUUUGGGGAUUUAUCUUCAGAGACUAAGCGAAAGUGAUAAGUUAGCCACCUGGGGAGUACGAACGCAAGUUUGAAACUCAAAGGAAUUGACGGGGGCCCGCACAAGCGGUGGAUUAUGUGGUUUAAUUCGAUGAUACGCGAGGAACCUUACCAAGGGCUUAAAUGGGAAUUGAUCGGUUUAGAAAUAGACCUUCCUUCGGGCAAUUUUCAAGGUGCUGCAUGGUUGUCGUCAGCUCGUGCCGUGAGGUGUUAGGUUAAGUCCUGCAUCGAGCGCGACCCCUGUCACUAGUUGCCAUCAUUCAGUUGGGGACUCUAGUGAGACUGCCUACGCAAGUAGAGAGGAAGGUGGGGAUGACGUCAAAUCAUCACGGCCCUUACGCCUUGGGCCACACACGUAAUACAAUGGCCGGUACAGAGGGCAGCUACACAGCGAUGUGAUGCAAAUCUCGAAAGCCGGUCUCAGUUCGGAUUGGAGUCUGCAACUCGACUCUAUGAAGCUGGAAUCGCUAGUAAUCGCGCAUCAGCCAUGGCGCGGUGAAUACGUUCCCGGGCCAUGUACACACCGCCCGUCAAGCCUUGGAAGUCUGGAGUACCUGAAGUCGGUGACCGUAAAAGGAGCUGCCUAGGGUAAAACAGGUAACUAGGGCUAAGUCGUAACAAGGUAACC
rnacentral:rRNA from 1 species